rnacentral:rRNA from 1 species
UACAGAGGUCUCAACCGUUGUUCGGAUUCAUUGGGCGUAAAGGGUGCGUAGGCGGUCGGGUAAGUCGGAUGUGAAAUCUCAGGGCUCAACCCUGAAACUGCAUUCGAUACUGCCUGGCUAGGGUACUGGAGAGGAGACUGGAAUUUACGGUGUAGCGGUGAAAUGCGUAGAUAUCGUAAGGAAGACCAGUGGCGAAGGCGGGUCUCUGGACAGUUCCUGACGCUGAGGCACGAAGGUCAGGGGAGCAAACGGG